UCUGUCAAAAAUGCUGGGAGAAAUGCUUCAUUUCUUCACAGGGGAUGCCUUUUCAUACUCGGCAAGAGUCUGUUUUGGCAGCUACAUGCUGCCCAAGGGAGAGAUCAUAGAGCUGUUCAAGCAAGCAAACCCAUCUCGCACGACUCCUGAGCUUGCAGCCCUGCACGGGAGGUUGCAGCUGCACGAGACCUGGGCUCUGCCCCCGCUGCUGCAGCCAUCACCCACCGACCCAGCACCAGCACCGGUCAGUCCUCAUCCUCAUCCUCGGCAGCGACAGGGGACGAGGGAGGAGCUCCACAAUUAAAGCUAGCGUUUCAGCGAGGGCCAUCCUCAAGCCACAACAGAACCGGCACAAUCUGAUGGGAGAAAUUGGAACAAUAGAUAAAAUGCCCUCACCCGGCCACCUCCAGCCAUGGCAGGAGGACUCGCAACACCUUGGAGGCUGACCCCAGACCUGGAAAAGGGGGAAGGCAUCCAUCCACCUGCAUUAUAAUGCCACGAUUUCCAGAUGCGUUGGUAAGACACCAACACAGAACCUGGAGCAGGCUCACUCCUCACGCCUGCUCCUCCUGCCCACGGACACGAGCCUGGGGCGCAUGAUGAGGGGCAGCCCACGGACCCCACUGGACAUCGAGGGAGAUGUUACAGCUUGCUCCCCUGCAACGCCCGGUGCUCCUACCCUGCGUGACAAAGCACCAGGUGGAGAUCAUCAGAUCCUCAGUUCCAAAAAAUAAAAGUGAUACUCUGAUUUAAAUUGUAGUUGCCUCUAAACUAAAGGAGCUUUCUGUUUUUCACUACCCAGUGGCUGGGGCAGCUUCAGGAAACAGGUCUGCCUGUCUGUCACAAUAAUUGCUUCUGCCUCAGUUAUCUAGUGCAGUCAAAACAAGCCAAGUUCAUAGUCAGAGCUGCAAGAGGUUUCAAACAAGAUUUCUGCGAGCCAAGCAUCUUCCUGACACCCAGCUCGCCUCACCACACUGCUCCCCGGCCAGGACCACAGGACCCCUCAAAAUCACCAACCCCAACACACAAUGGGACCGCUCGGAAGAAAAAAUCCACUCAAGGUCUCCCUGUCCUUUCCUAUCACACAGCUGACUGCUCCCUCCCUUUGCCAUCGCGCGGUCCCCUGGAGACAAGCCUGCACCUUCCGGGCCGCAGGAAGCAGUGCGGCCCCACUGGGGCUGGGGCCCCGGCUGGCUGCUGCCCUUGAGCCACUUCUCUGCGGCUCUGUGCGAGAUUUAUAAUCCAGCUGGCUGCCUGGCUGCUCUGCCAGAGCCGGGGGGCCGGAGCGGGACGGCAGCGCUCGGGUCUGCACGCCUGGACGUGACGGAGGGUCUUGCAAAGCAGAGCAGGACCACUGUCACAAAAACCAAACAAAACCACCACCCCCCAAAAAAUCCCACACCAAAAAAAAAAAGCUCAAGAGAAAGAGAAAAGUGAAAACCAACCCUGAAAGGCUUUCU